CGAGGAAUAUUGCACAAUGGGCGCAAGCCUGAUGCAGCGACGCCGCGUGUGGGAUGAAGGGGCUACGCCUCGUAAACCACUGUAGCCCGGGACGAAAAACGCCUUAGAGGCGUUAGACGGUACCGGGAAAGUAAGGGUCGGCUAACUACGUGCCAGCAGCCGCGGUAAUACGUAGGACCCAAGCGUUGUCCGGAUUUACUGGGUGUAAAGGGUGCGCAGGCGGAUGGGUAAGUCAGGGGUGAAAGUCUGCAGCUUAACUGUAGAAUUGCCUUUGAGACUGCUCAUCUUGAGUGUGGGAGAGGUUGAUAGAAUUCCAGGUGUAGCAGUGAAAUGCGUAGAUAUCUGGAAUAACACCAGUGGCGAAGGCGGUCAACUGGCCCAUAACUGACGCUCAUGCACGAAAGCGUGGGG
rnacentral:rRNA from 1 species